rnacentral:lncRNA from 1 species
GUGGCCACUCUUUAACCUUCCCAUUACAAGCUUUAACCAAUGCUUUCACAAUCGGCGGGUGACCACGUUCGCUUUUUGCAUUCCCUUCCGGAUUAUAAGCAGUAGUCAGUGAUAGUUUAACUCCACAUUUUUCAAAGAACUUAUGAGCUUCUUGUGCAUUUAAUUCUCCACGAUCUGCAGUGAUUUUUUCCACGCAUCCGUAGCGGCAAAUGACAUCUU